rnacentral:tRNA from 1 species
CAAAGUGUAACCUAAACAAAUUUUAUACACAAAACAUAUCUGUUAAACUCAGAUCACUUUGAG